rnacentral:misc_RNA from 1 species
UAUUUAAACAAGGCUCUUGAUACGUUCAACACAGCUGUUGUAUCGCCUAUAUACUAUGUGAUGUUUACAUCCUUGACCAUUUUGGCCAGUGUAAUCAUGUUUAAGGAUUGGGAUCGACAGAAUCCAACUCAAAUUGUUACUGAAAUGUGUGGAUUUGUGACUAUCCUUUCUGGAACUUUUCUUCUUCAUAAGACAAAGGACAUGGUUGAGGGUUUAUCACCAUCUCAAUCAUUGCGUCUUCCCAAGCACACAGAAGAUGAUGUGUUUGAAACUGAAGGGAUGCCUCUUCGACGUCUAGAAUCCCUGCGACAGGCAUAGCUGUAUCCAGUGAUUCAUCGGUAUACUUUCAUUCAAGAUCUUGCAUGUAUUUUGGGGGAUUGCGGGACUCACACCAUUGGCCUGUAUAUUACCAACACGUUUAACUGGUCCUUGCGUUGUUUGAGAGGAUAAUGAGCAAAGUCGGCUGGAAUUCUUCUCAGAUAGAAAAUGAAAUGAGCAUUUUCAGCUGCUUCCUUGUAUACAGGUUUAACUCCGCUAAGGACCCCACCCUGGGGAAUUGUAAUUUGGAGCACAUGGUUUUAACAUGAUAUAUCUUAGUUUCAUAUUAACAAAGAAAUGCAGAUAUUUUCCCCCUGGAUACCAAGGCAUUGUAGAAGAGAGGGGUUGUGUGUUAUAAUGCUUUUCAGGUAAAAC